rnacentral:lncRNA from 1 species
AUAGUAAUUUUUAUGCCCCACCUACGAUAGUAGAGGGGCAUUAUGUUUUCUGGUCUGUGGCUCCGUUCGUCUGUGCGUCCGUCCGUUCAGGUUUAAGUUUUUGGUCAAGGUAGUUUUUGAUGAAGCUGAAGUCCAAUCAACUUGAAACUUAGUACACUUGUUGCUUAUGAUAUGAUCUUUCUAAUUUUAAAGCCAAAUUAGACUUUUGACCCCAAUUUCACGGUCCACUGAACAUAGAAAAUGAAAGUGGGAGUUUCAGGUUAAAGUUUUUGGUCAAGGUAGUUUUUUGAUUAAGCUGAAGUCCAAUCAACUUGAAACUUGGUACACUUGUUGCUUAUGAUAUGAUCUUUUUAAUUUUAAAGCCAAAUUAGUCUUUUGACCCCAAUUUCACGGUCCACUGAAGAUAAUAAAUGAAAGUGGGAGUUUCAGGUUAAAGUUUUUGGUCAAGGUAGUUUUUGAUGAAGCUGAAGUCCAAUCAACUUGAAACUUAGUACACUUGUUGCUUAUGAUAUGAUCUUUUUAAUUUUAAAGCCAAAUUAGUCUUUUGACCCCAAUUUCACGGUCCACUGAACAUAAUAAAUGAAAGUGGGAGUUUCAGGUUAAAGUUUUUGGUCAAGGUAGUUUUUGAUGAAGUUGAAGUCCAAUCAACUUGAAACUUAGUACACAUGUUGCAUAUGAUAUGAUCUUUAUAAUUUUAAUGCCAAAUUAAAUUUUUUACCCAAUUUCACGGUCCAUUGAACAUGAAAAAUGAUAGUGCGAGUGGGGCAUCCGUGUACUUUAGACACAUUCUUGUUUAAAAUUUAUAUUUAAGAUUUAUUCUGCUGUAUUUCAUGAAAAAAAUUUCAACUGCAUAUGUGGCCCUCUUCAUACAAGUCAUUACAAUCAGAUAUGAAUUAUCUCUAUAAUUAAAGUUUUAC